rnacentral:rRNA from 1 species
ACGCUGGCGGCGUGCUUAACACAUGCAAGUCGAACGAACCUUCGGGUUAGUGGCGGACGGGUGAGUAACGCGUGAGAAUCUGCCCUCAGGAGGGGGAUAACGGUUGGAAACGACCGCUAAUACCCCAUAUGCCGCGAGGUGAAAUGAAUUUCGCCUGGGGAUGAGCUCGCGUCUGAUUAGCUAGUUGGUGGGGUAAAGGCCUACCAAGGCAUCGAUCAGUAGCUGGUCUGAGAGGAUGA